rnacentral:rRNA from 1 species
GACGUAGGGGGCAAGCGUUGUCCGGAAUCAUUGGGCGUAAAGCGCUCGUAGGUGGAUCGGUAAGUCUGCAAAGAAAGACCCGGGCUCAACUCGGGGAACGGUGUGGAUACUACCGAUCUUGAGGCAAUCAGAGGAUGAUGGAAUUCCCGGUGUAGCGGUGAAAUGCGUAGAGAUCGGGAGGAACACCAGUGGCGAAGGCGGCCUUCUGGACCAGUACUGACGCUCAUGCACGAAAGCGUGGGGAGCAAACAGG